GUGCUCGCUUCAGCAGCACAUAUACUAAAAUUAGAAAAAUACAGAAAGUAGCAUGGCUCCUUCACAAGGAUACACAUAAAUUCAUGAAGCAUUCUAUAUUUUA